rnacentral:rRNA from 1 species
UACGAAGGGUGCUAGCGUUGUUCGGAAUCACUGGGCGUAAAGGGCGCGUAGGCGGCUUUUCAAGUCAGAGGUGAAAUCCCAGGGCUCAACCCUGGAAUUGCCUUUGAAACUGUAAAGCUUGAGUGUCGGAGGGGAUAGCGGAAUUGCUAAUGUAGAGGUGAAAUUCGUAGAUAUUAGCAGGAACACCGGUGGCGAAGGCGGCUAUCUGGACGACAACUGACGCUGAGGCGCGAAAGCACGGGGAUCAAACAGG